GUCCCGGCAGCCCCGCUCCCGGCCGCGGCGACAGUUCCUGCACCGGGUUCCCCACUCGCCCCGAUUUACUGCCACAAUCCACCAAAUAACAAGCUGUUGAGCAGACUCGCUUCUACACGAACUACCAUUGGCUGCUCAUGACGCCCAAGAGCUACCGAUUGGAGCUCACACCCUCCCGUUCUCAUUGGAUGUAGCGCUCAAACUUCACGGAUUGGUUCGAGAAACAGCCGAUAGGACAUCUUCCACUUGUGAUUGGCUUUACCCAAGAAUAACGUUAUUGGAGAAUCGUGGAUUGAGUAAGCAAAUCCUGAGGCAUCAUUGGUGGAGACGAUUCCGGAUGUGCUGGACUGAGCACUGAUUGGUGCACUGAAGGGUCAGGAAGAGCAGUCCGGCACGAGGAUUGGCUGUGGAGUGUCCCAUGGAGACGGAGCCCAGAACCGCAGCCAGGGGCUUGCACGGGGGCGGGGCAGGGUCCUUCCAAAGCGCCUGCGCUAAAGCGGCUUCUCGGCGCCAUUUUGUCCCGGCAACGGUGGCCGCCGCUCUACCGCAUUUUAUGUUUCUGGCGUGAAGGUACCGGAGUUGUCGGCCUGUAGAUCUAUUUUAAUGCGAAGCUAUUCACCGUUCGCUCCAGUACAGCACCUCGUGAAGAACAGAGGGGUCGCAGAGCCGUGGAAAGGCCAAUUUCAGGCUGUGGUCGCCCGACUGACUGAGGGGAUGGCGCAGCUCUAGCGACUUCGGCACCGGAAGUGAGGGCGCCGGCGGCAGCCAUGUUGUGCUAAAGAAAAAAGGAGGACAUCUCGGUAAGACUACCCCAGAGAGGUGUACUUGUGAUAGAAAUACAAGCAAAUGGAUGACAGUCUAAUCAGAUAAGUGCUUUUGUACUCCAGAAUUCAUUUUGUUAUGUAGAACAGCCAAAGGAAAACUUUGUUCUUUAAAACUUUUUUUUUUUUUCUUUUUAGGUACCAGGAUCAAGAUGACUUAUAUAGCAAUAAAGUACUUUUUUUUUUGGUACCAGGAAUCAAACUCAGAACCUUACACUUGCGAGGCAGGUGGCGGAACCACUGAGGUAAAUAAAUCCCCAAGUCUAGGUACUGUUAAUCUUACAGUAAAUUUUAUAUUCAUGUCACAGUAUAACAGUUUAUCUGAAGCUAGAUUAAUCUUGCAUACCCAUUAAUCUUCAGUAUAUAUGCAAAUCUUUUUUCUAAUAUCUGUAUGGAGCUAGUUAUUACUGCUUAGCUUUAUAUUUAUCAGGUAUUAUGGCAUCUGCAAUAGCUAUAAUUGGCUUAGUUGCUCAAAAUUAGGUUUUAUUAUUUUUUUAUUUUGAUACUAGGGAUCAAACUCAGGAGGUUUAUGCUUGCAAGGCAGGCGGUGGAACCACUGAGCUAAAUCCUCAGCCCACAAUUACGUUUAGAACCAGGCUUUCGUGUUGAGACAGGGUCUCACUACAUUAUGUAGUCCAUCCUGUCACUGAACUAUCACUAUGUGAAACCCAUAGCAGUUCCUCUUCCUCAGCCUCCAGAGUGUUAGGAUUUCAGGUGCACCCGUCAUGUCUGGCUUCAAUCUUUUUUUUUUUUUUUUAAUUUAUUUAUGGUACCAGAGAUCGAACCUGGGUCCCCAGCCCUUCAGUCUUAUUUUAAAUAAGAGGGUUAGAGACAGGAACUUAAGAAUAGUCACAACAACAGCACAGUUACACAUGAUUCAUGUGCUAGUCAAACUUUAGAACUUUAAUAUAUGAUUGACCAUAGACUAGCUUAGACAUAGUGAUCUCUGAAAAUAAAAAAUAAACAUUUAGUAUCGUUUAGAUAAUUUCCCAAAGCCAACUUUUUUGAUCUUUGUUAUGUAUCAGUUAUAAAAAGCUUUUCACUGUGUUGUUAUAUACUGGUUUACAGUUGUAUCCUAGUUAGCUAUUCAAAUAUAAUGAUUUGCCAUUUUAACUACACAGAUGCUCAAAGUCCAGUAAUACUCUGCAGCUCAACUCAGUAACCAAUACCUUCUUAUGAGAAGGUAGCAGCUGAAUGGAGUAAUAUAGGCAUAAACCCAAUAAUGUAUGUGUACUUGGCCAGAGUUCACAUCAUCUAUUUCUGCUGUGAGUAUUGCUGUGCAGGUUAUGACACCUGUUCUUUUAGGCCUUAGUCAUGUAGGAACAGUUUUCACUACAUAGCACUUUCACAGACACGUUUGUGCAUGUGGGGCACAAACUUAGGGCUUUACACAGGCUAAGCAAGCGAGCACUCCUACCACUGAACUGUACCCCCAGCCCAUUAGUUUGGACCUAAAGGCUAUUUAAAUUUAUUUUUUUGUAUUUUUUAUUUUAUAGAUCAAAACAUGUUUAAGCGACACAAUAGAAACUAUCGAUCCUUGAAACUACUCCUCACAAUAAUAAAGGAAAAGAGAAAAAAACAGACUCUUUAUUAGCCUUUCCUUUCCCUGGGUAAAAUUACCCAAUAGAGGCAACUUAAAGAGAGGUGUAUUUUGGCUCAGUUUCAGUGGGUUUGGUCUGUGGCUGGCUGACACCCCUGCAAAGAUGGCCUGGCAGAGGGCCAGGUAGAAGACAGCUGUUCUUACCAUGAUGGGCAGGAAGCAGAGAAGAAGAGCCAGAGACAAGAAUAUACCUCUUAUUUCCCCAGUGACCCUCCUGUUCUGACCAGGCCUCACCUUCCAAUGGCAGUGAGCUAUACUCCAAUGUCAAGUUUUGUGUGCUGAAGACCAAACAGGGCCUGGCACAUACUAGACGUCUGCUAUACCACAGAGCCACAUCCCCAGCCCAUUCAGAACAUUUAAAUUUGUAGCUGUGCCGCUAACUGAAGGAUGUUGACCAAAGCAUUAACAUUCGCUUAUUUUUUUUUAACAUUCACUUAUUUUUUAAGUAAGUACCUAUUAUGCCAGGCAUGAUGGUGCACACCUGCAAUCCCAGUACUCAGAGGAGGCUAAGGCAGGAGGAUCAUUGCAAGUUGUAAGCCAGCCCGGUCUAAUAGUUCAAGGUCAGUUUGAACUGCACAGACUCUCUGUCCCCCACAAAAGGACCUACUAUAUAUGUUACUAAAUGAGAAUAAAAAGAUAAUUACUCGUUCAUUAAAUACUUUUUAGCAAAACAUUCACCACAGAAUUUGUACCCGUACAUGACAUUAUCUUGCUUCUAUUUUUCCUAUUCCCCUCCUUUCAACCCCCUUCCC